AUGUUCUAUUUCUUCUUACUGGUUAAGGGCAUAGAAGUAAUCUCAUUUUUUUUUCAUGUUGAUACAUCAUAUGUAUUAGUGAUGUCAUGCGAAGCCACAUCAAUUUGGAAAAUAUAUACUAAAUUAGAAGCCAUAAGCAUUUUGCUAUCUUGGUUUUGGCAACUAGAUUAUAUCCAAAAUGCAAAUAAUCUGAGAGCAGAAAUUGCAAAUCAUUGGAAAGUAUGCAAUGUAAAAAUGCUAAGAAGGCCAAAGAGCAGCGCAGGAGCUUUUAUUAUACUUUGUUUAAUCCUGGAGAUCAUACUGGAAGCUGAUGCUGUAGCAUUGCAGUUGCAUUAUUUUGCAUACUAG
rnacentral:rRNA from 1 species